rnacentral:rRNA from 1 species
CCUACGGGAGGCAGCAGUGAGGAAUAUUGGUCAAUGGUCGGGAGACUGAACCAGCCAAGCCGCGUGAGGGAGGAAGGUACAGAGUAUCGUAAACCUCUUUUGUCAGGGACCAAAGACUGGGACGCGUCCCCGGAUGAGUGUACCUGAAGAAAAAGCAUAGGCUAACUCCGUGCCAGCAGCCGCGGUAAUACGGAGGAUGCGAGCGUUAUCCGGAUUUAUUGGGUUUAAAGGGUGCGCAGGCGGUCUGGUAAGUUAGCGGUCAAAGCCCGGGGCUCAACCCCGGCCCCGCGUUUGAAACUGGCAGUCUCGAGUUGGAGAGAAGUAUGCGGAAUGCGCGGUGUAGCGGUGAAAUGCAUAGAUAGCGCGCAGAACGCCGAUUGCGAAGGCAGCAUGCCGGCUCCACACUGACGCUGAGGCACGAAAGCGUGGGUAUCGAACAGGAUUAGAUACCCGAGUAGUC